GCCAGUGUGACUCAGUGGUUAGAGUGUGAGUCCACUCACUGAAGGGUCACUGGUUCAAUUCCCAGUCAAGGGCU
rfam:Myotis brandtii contig199420, whole genome shotgun sequence.